CACUUUCGAUCUCCUGGCUUCUACCCCCUACCCUGCUGGCAGGGCAUUGUGCAGCACCCUUUCCAGCCCACCUGGGUGCAGGAGAUCGAGGAAGAGAGCAUCUGCCAUCCAACUCUUUCCCAUCUAGAGCAAUUCCAGGAUGAAGAGGCUGAAGCAGAUGCUCAGGAGGAAGGCUGGGCAGGUGGCUCCGGAGCCAGUAGGGAGCACCGUCCGUCUUGCCCAGAAGGAGAGCGGCUCCUCUGUCCCCGCAGGCGGGGAAGAGGCCAGUGAGCAGGCAAAGCAGAGGAACUCCCUGACCUUCUGGAGGAAGAGAAAAACACCAGCUCCUUUAGCAGGCCCUGAGGCACCUUCUGGUCCCAAAUGGAGGUGGCCCAGGGUGAUGCUAUGUAGGAGGGACCCAGGAGAGGGUGGGAGCCGGGCAAGGUGGCUCUGCGGCUUCCUUUACAGGAAGCAGAGGAGCCAGGAGCCCAGCCCCAGGGCCCAGCAGGAGCCAUCCACCAGCCUGGCCACUGAGGAGCCCUCCAGCUGGCCCACUGCAGGAGCUGGGCGACUCUGGCACGGGAACCAGCAGCUCUGCCUAUUCCCGAGGGGCCAGAAGCUCCUCCGUGGGGUCUGACAGUCCUGAGGCUGAAGGCUCCCUCUUUGCAGAGACCCCCAGUGCCCAGCUGGAGUGGGUUGAGGAGGAGGAGGAGGAGAAGGAGGAGGAGGAGGAUGUGUCCCCUGAACAAGACACCAUCAGGGCCAUCCAGCAGCACCUCCAGGGCAGAGCUGAGG